rnacentral:rRNA from 1 species
CGGGAGUAACGCGUGGGUAACCGUGCCUCAUACAGGGGAGUAACAGUUAGAAAUAGACUGCUAAUACCGCAUAAGCGCACAGUGCUGCAUGGCACAGUGUGAAAAACUCCGGUGGUAUGAGAUGGACCCGCGUCUGAUUAGCUAGUUGGUGGGGUAACGGCCUACCAAGGCGACGAUCAGUAGCCGGCCUGAGAGGGUGAACGGCCACAUUGGGACUGAGACACGGCCCAA